CAGCAGCCGCGGUAAAACAGAGGGUGCAAGCGUUAAUCGGAAUUACUGGGCGUAAAGCGCGCGUAGGUGGUUUGUUAAGUUGGAUGUGAAAGCCCCGGGCUCAACCUGGGAACUGCAUCCAAAACUGGCAAGCUAGAGUACGGUAGAGGGUGGUGGAAUUUCCUGUGUAGCGGUGAAAUGCGUAGAUAUAGGAAGGAACACCAGUGGCGAAGGCGACCACCUGGACUGAUACUGACACUGAGGUGCGAAAGCGUGGGGAGCAAACAGGAUUAGAUACCCCAGUAGUCCCUGUCUCUUAUAC
rnacentral:rRNA from 1 species